rnacentral:rRNA from 1 species
AAUAGAUACCCUGGUAGUCCACGCCGUAAACGAUGAGUGCUAAGUGUUAGAGGGUUUCCGCCCUUUAGUGCUGCAGCUAACGCAUUAAGCACUCCGCCUGGGGAGUACGGUCGCAAGACUGAAACUCAAAGGAAUUGACGGGGGCCCGCACAAGCGGUGGAGCAUGUGGUUUAAUUCGAAGCAACGCGAAGAACCUUACCAGGUCUUGACAUCCCACUGACCGGUAUAGAGAUAUACCUUUCCCUUCGGGGACAGUGGUGACAGGUGGUGCAUGGUUGUCGUCAGCUCGUGUCGUGAGAUGUUGGGUUAAGUCCCGCAACGAGCGCAACCCUUGAUCUUAGUUGCCAGCAUUUAGUUGGGCACUCUAAGGUGACUGCCGGUGACAAACCGGAGGAAGGUGGGGAUGACGUCAAAUCAUCAUGCCCCUUAUGACCUGGGCUACACACGUGCUACAAUGGAUGGUACAAAGGGCUGCAAGACUGCGAAGUCAAGCCAAUCCCAUAAAACCAUUCUCAGUUCGGAUUGC